ensembl:lncRNA
CUUUGAUUCUGUGAGUAUGGCGACUGAAAACUCUGUGGUAUCUCUUCGUGAAACACCUUUCAAUCGACGAUCAGAUGUCGAUAAGAAGAGACUGAAAGACAUGGGACCCGAACGUCCGGAUUUAAAAAUGCAGCAGCAGAGCAUCGACCGCGGGAGGACGUACACCCGUAGCUUCUCCUCAAGCCUGUAUGCUAAGUGCUAACCGGAGCUGGUUAGCUGGUUGUUCAUUGAGUGAUGCGUUUUUUUUGUUCCCCCUGCCUGUUGUUCUAAAGUCCUGGGACUGAAACAAUCAGGACUGCAACGGGGAUGAGGGAUCUAAAGCACUUCAACGAUAAAUGUAAGAAGCACGAAUCUUGCCGCUGCCAUCUAACUAACAGCCUGAAGCUAAGCCUCUUUGGAAGACUGAGUAUAGCAGAGCAGCUCGACUAAGGGUACCGAAUUGGCAUUCGAAAACACAAUGAACGGGUUCAACUACUGAAGUAAAUAUCAAAAGAUGCUUCCGAUCUGCACAAUGUCUCAAUGGUUCCCUGAACACAGAAAAUCUAAGGGUAAUAGAAAUUCUACAAAGCUGAACAUGAAAGCAUGGUUUAUCUUUCAGCUACAGUAAGUGACACGGCCAAUGGGAGGCAGUGUUUCAGCUGUGGCUUGACGGGCUGCUCGUGAAGGCUUCAAUGUGCUGGUGAUGAGGAUCGCUGUUUCUCUUCAACCGGUGUCUUUAUUUGUGGGAGUGUGGUGUGUGCAGUACUAUGUAUUUUGAACAAAAUGGCAAAAUAUAUUUCUACACAGUUGAAGAGCAUACCAGUCAAGGGUAUGUAACACUGUAACAGUGGAAAAGUAUAACUUUAGUUAGGUAAUCUAUUGCCUUACUGUUAUGUAUUGAUACAUUAUUGUUUCUAACUCUCUCUUCUGUUUUUCCCUUCCACCACUAGUUGAUAUAGCUGGACAGCGCACUACCGUAAAGGGCUGUGCCACCCAAAGUGUCUGCUCUGGAGCGUUUUCACAGGCGCUGGACUCGGCGCUGCUGUGAGGGGGAUCUGUACAACAGUGCCUGGAGUGCUACACACAGUGUCCUGUUCCUGCUGUGGCCCCUGGGCUCUGUUCUGCUCUUCCACUGAGCUGGCUUCAUCUCAGGGUGAUUCUUCUGCUUGGAGAUGGGCUGCUAUUUCCAACACAAACUUGUUAAUGGCUGUUAAAGCAAAUAAACAAAGAUUUGUUUUCAUUUAUGUGUCAGCAUGUGUUUGUUUUCAUUUAUGUGUUAGCAUGUGUUUCUUUUCAUUCAAACAACUACUAGAC